UUUCGCAAUGCCCGAAAGGGUGACGAAGCGACGUCGCGUGGGUGAUGAAGGCCCUUGGGUCGUAAAACCCUGUCAAGAGUUAUGAAAGCAGCUAGUCUGUUUGACAAAGGCUCUAAAGGAAGUCACGGCUAACUCUGUGCCAGCAGCCGCGGUAAUACAGAGGUGGCAAGCGUUGUUCGGAAUUAUUGGGCGUAAAGAGCACGUAGGUGGUCAGAUAAGUCAGAUGUAAAAUACCUUUGCUCAACAAAGGACCUGCAUUUGAAACUGUCUGACUAGAGUACAGAAGGGGAGAAUGGAAUUUCUGAUGGAGCGGUGAAAUGUGUAGAUAUCAGAAGGAACGCCGGUGGCGAAAGCGAUUCUCUAGUAUGUAACUGACACUGAGGUGCGAAAGCUAGGGGAGCAAACAGGAUUAGAUACCCUGGUAGUCCUAGCCGUAAACGAUGGGCACUAAGUAGAGGGGUUUUA
rnacentral:rRNA from 1 species